rnacentral:rRNA from 1 species
GGCUUACCUGCAGUCGAGGGGUAACAGGGAUUAGUUUACUAAUUUGCUGACGACCGGCGCACGGGUGAGUAACGCGUAUACAAUUUACCUUUUACAGGAGGAUAGCCCAGAGAAAUUUGGAUUAAUACUCCAUGGUAUUACGAAAUCGCAUGGUUUUGUAAUUAAAGUUUCGGCGGUAGAAGAUGAGUAUGCGUCCUAUUAGCUAGUUGGUAAGGUAACGGCUUACCAAGGCGACGAUAGGUAGGGGUCCUGAGAGGGAGAUCCCCCACACUGGUACUGAGACACGGACCAGACUCCUACGGGAGGCAGCAGUGAGGAAUAUUGGUCAAUGGAGGCAACUCUGAACCAGCCAUGCCGCGUGCAGGAAGACUGCCCUAUGGGUUGUAAACUGCUUUUAUACAGGAAGAAACUUAUCCACGUGUGGAUAACUGACGGUACUGUACGAAUAAGGACCGGCUAACUCCGUGCCAGCAGCCGCGGUAAUACGGAGGGUCCAAGCGUUAUCCGGAAUCAUUGG